CAGGGAGCCUGAUGUGGGACUCUAUCCUGGACCCCAGGAUCUGAAGGCAGACACUCAACCAACCGCUGAGCCACCCAGGUGUCCCUGCAUUGAGAAUUAAAGGAGCAAAUGCAUCUUGAGGGUUUAGCACAGGGGCUGGCACACAGUAGGCAUGCAACAAAUGACAAUAAUCAUCCUCUCUACCUCACCCUCAUCAUCACAUUGUCAAAGUGCUUUGUAAACAAUGGGGUUCUAUAUGCAUGGGAAGUGAUAACACUAUGAUUCUUCAUGUUUCCUCUAGCUAUUCUGCUCUGGACCAAAAAGGUCACCAUAGACCUCACCUGUUCAUCUCAAAAGCCAGUCUUCCAUGAAGUGGGAUGGACCCUCUUUGGGUUCUUUGGAUUCAACACCUUCACUUGACCAAACAAGACCAUUCUUAGAGUGGAGUGGAAGUCUUCUUCUAGGAGCUUCCUCCAACAGAUAUUCUCAAUUUACCCUGGAGGCAGCCAGAUGGCAGCUGUUGGAAUGGAGGCUCAUCACUGGGACUUGGGUUGUAGACUUGAGAUGUGGAUUGACAAAAAAGCUUUUCUGUCAAUGUGUAGAAAGGAGGGAUAAAAUGGGAAGCCUCUCCUGUGUCUACUGCAAGAAUGUUGGUUAUGAUAAAGCGUCCAUACUUGUGAGAACCCUUGGGAGAGAUUCUUAUCUUAGAACAGUGAAUUAGAUGUUAGUGAACAGUGAACAGAUGAAUUAGAGCCAAGGCUCUGAAUUUAGGUGUUCUGUAUUCCAAUCCUUGUUCCACCCUCUGUUUAACCAUGGGCAAGUUGUGAGCUUUUUCUUCCCCAUUAGGGAAGAUAAUAAUAGUGCCUCUCUUGUAUAGGUGUAUGAGGAGUAGUAAACACCCAGUUGAUGCAAACUACUAUUAUAAGUCUCUGGGGCAACUGGUUUGUUCAAAUGGCGUGAUUGUUGUGGUUUAUGUCACUGAUCAAAUUUCCCUUUUCACACUGGCUGCUAGGAAGUUCAACAUCAGUCUUGUGAACCAACCACAGCAAAUUUCAAAUGUGCUUUUUGUGAAUGGGUGGUAUUCAUGGAUCCAUUUAUUAUCAUUUGUUUCUUGCUCUACUAUUUGUGUGUGUAGCUCGAUCUAACUUACAUGUCCUCGAAAUUGCCUUUUAUCCUUCUAGUAAGAGAUCUGGUAUCUUGGAUGAGAAGAUUCUGCUCACAUGUGGCUAUUUCAUCUCCUUAGUGAGACGGUGGGUUCCUCAAGAGCAAGGAUGGUCUCCGAGGCACUUUUUGACUCUCCCCUCCCCCCACAGUUAAGCUGAGUGGAUGAGUUGAUGAAAUGUUAGAAGGCAAAGAACUCAAAUAUGCUCUCUGCCUUAGCCAUAGGAGAGGAAAUAGCUGACCCGAGAUAUCUCUGCUCUCUCAAAUGUCUGUAAAACUAAAGGUCAGUGGCCAAUGUGCCAAUUUCCUGUGCUGCUUGGCCACAGACGUGUUAGAUCAGAGGGAGACUUUGUGGUCUGAGAGCUGCCUCACUGGCUGCUGGCAUGAGGAUUCAGACUCCAUUUUCUGGAGUAGCAGAGAUUGCACUGGCUCCCCCACCAACAUCUGUGUCAUCCUCUUCUUUUUAGAUGCACAUAAUGCAGAUCAUGUAUUUUAUAUCUUCUCAUGAAAAAUUGCACAUUUGGGCAACUCUGGGCCCCCAGUCUCACAUGGCAACCAUU
ensembl:lncRNA